rfam:Equus caballus chromosome 10, whole genome shotgun sequence.
GGGUGUAAAGGUCACCUGGCUUUGACAUCUGUUACCUUGUCCAUCACCAGGACUCAUGUGGCUGCUACUGGUUGUCUGUAUCUUCGUCUUCUUACUUUAUCACCUGGUGGUCUCCUUUCCAGAAGUCACACCUUCAGCCAAAGAAACCAAGGGUUUCUGGGAGAGAAGAAGCAUCCUUCACUCAAAGGUGUGGGAGGGAGCAUAGCCAUAUGGCCCUGGAACACAACUAGGAAAAUCACCUGGAAUUUCACCCAGGUGGAUGCUACCACUGCAGCCACAUUUAAAGUCAUGUUUUU